rnacentral:snRNA from 1 species
CUCGGCAUAGAAUCUACUGCCUC